rnacentral:tRNA from 1 species
GCGGUCAUAAUUUAAUUAAAAUACUAAACUGUGAACUUAGCAACAGGAGCACACCACUCCUUGACCACC